rnacentral:rRNA from 1 species
GAUGAACGCUGGCGGCGUGCUUAACACAUGCAAGUCGAACGAUGAAGCCCAGCUUGCUGGGUGGAUUCGUGGCGAACGGGUGAGUAACACGUGAGUAACCUGCCCUUAACUCUGGGAUAAGCCUGGGAAACUGGGUCUAAUACCGGAUAGGAGCGCCUACCGCACGGUGGGUGUUGGAAAGAUUUAUCGGUUUUGGAUGGCCUCGCGGCCUAUCAGCUUGUUGGUGAGGUAAUGGCUCACCAAGGCGACGACGGGUAGCCGGCCUGAGAGGGUGACCGGCCACACUGGGACUGAGACACGGCCCAGACUCCUACGGGAGGCAGCAGUGGGGAAUAUUGCACAAUGGGCGGAAGCCUGAUGCAGCGACGCCGCGUGAGGGAUGACGGCCUUCGGGUUGUAAACCUCUUUCAGUAGGGAAGAAGCGAAAGUGACGGUACCUGCAGAAGAAGCACCGGCUAACUACGUG